rnacentral:rRNA from 1 species
UACGUAGGGUCCGAGCGUUGUCCGGAUUUAUUGGGCGUAAAGAGCUCGUAGGCGGCUCGGUAAGUCGGAUGUGAAAACUCGGGGCUCAACCCCGAGACGCCAUCCGAUACUGCUGUGGCUUGAGUCUGGUAGGGGAGAACGGAAUUCCUGGUGUAGCGGUGAAAUGCGCAGAUAUCAGGAGGAACACCGGUGGCGAAGGCGGUUCUCUAGGCCAGUACUGACGCUGAGGAGCGAAAGCGUGGGUAGCAAACAGG